rnacentral:rRNA from 1 species
CCUACGGGCGGCAGCAGUGGGGAAUAUUGGACAAUGGGCGAAAGCCUGAUCCAGCCAAGCCGCGUGUGUGAAGAAGGCCUUCGGGUUGUAAAGCACUUUCAGUGGGGAAGAAAGCCUUGGGGCUAAUACCCUCGAGGAAGGACAUCACCCACAGAAGAAGCACCGGCUAACUCCGUGCCAGCAGCCGCGGUAAUACGGAGGGUGCGAGCGUUAAUCGGAAUUACUGGGCGUAAAGCGCGCGUAGGCGGUCUGAUAAGCCGGUUGUGAAAGCCCCGGGCUCAACCUGGGAACGGCAUCCGGAACUGUCAGGCUAGAGUGCAGGAGAGGAAGGUAGAAUUCCCGGUGUAGCGGUGAAAUGCGUAGAGAUCGGGAGGAAUACCAGUGGCGAAGGCGGCCUUCUGGACUGACACUGACGCUGAGGUGCGAAAGCGUGGGUAGCAAACAGGAUUAGAUACCCGUGUAGUC